GAAUGAGUCUUACUCAGGAUACUGAAGUCAUCUAGGAUGGAGAAGAUACUAUGAAUCAUUUACUCCAAGCCUCUACUGUGGAUGUAGAGUGGAAUCUCCAUCCAAGAAGGUGCAACUGCCCAAUGUCAACCCUCCAGGCUUGAACCCUCUGGGCUCGCUCCAAGACCAAAAAGGCUUCCCUUGAGUAGUGUCAG